rnacentral:rRNA from 1 species
CCUACGGGUGGCAGCAGUGAGGAAUAUUGGUCAAUGGACGCAAGUCUGAACCAGCCAUGCCGCGUGCAGGAUGACGGCUCUAUGAGUUGUAAACUGCUUUUGUACGAGGGUAAACGCAGACACGCGUACCUGUCUGAAAGUAUUUUAUGAAUAAGGAUCGGCUAACUCCGUGCCAGCAGCCGCGGUAAUACGGAGGAUUCAAGCGUUAUCCGGAUUUAUUGGGUUUAAAGGGUGCGUAGGCGGUCGGAUAAGUUAGAGGUGAAAUCGCGCGGCUCAACCUCGGAAUUGCAUCUGAUACUGUUCGGCUAGAGAAUAGUUGCGGUAGGCGGAAUGUAUGGUGUAGCGGUGAAAUGCUUAGAGAUCAUACAGAACACCGAUUGCGAAGGCAGCUUACCAAGCUACUUCUGACAUUGAGGCACGAAAGCGUGGGGAGCAAACAGGAUUAGAUACCCUAGUAGUC